AGGGUAGACGGGUAAUUUGCACAACUUGAGCCACGGCUGCAGAGAUUUUUGUUUAAUCCAAUCCAAAACUACAGGUUGUAUGGUAUUGGAAAAUAGGAAAUUUAACAAAUGCUUAGUAUUAAGAGGUUGGUUAAAAAAAUUAUGUGCGUGUGAUGGGAUAUUAUACAACCAUCAAAAUGACAUAAAGUGAGGAGGAUUUAACUCCCUGGAGAGUAGAGCAUAACAGGACGGUAAUUAAGGCUUUGUUAUAUUCUCGAAGGACUAGAGAAAAGAUCAGGACGCAGAAAAAUUUAGUAUGAAAAUAUGACAUUUUAAAUCAGUAGGCAAAGACAAGUUAUCCAAUAAAUGAUGUCGGAAUAGCUGAUUAGCCAUUUAGAAAAAAACAUCUAAGUAAAUCCUCUAUGGAUUAAGUGUAUUCAUAAGAUUGAGGUUGUGAAAGCCUUCAAGGACAGCAACACAGAAAUCCUAAAGGAAAAUAUUCAUAGAUUUGAUAAUAUAAUUGUAACCACAGUUUUAUUAUUCCAUGAAAAUGCAGAAUUUUCUGAACAUGUUUUUAAAAUUCACCAUGAAUAGAGCCCUUUAAAAACAUGAGUUGGAAGAAGACAAAGGAUUGAUAGCCGUACUUUAGAAUGAACUCAGAUCAAUAGAAAAAACUCCCAUUGGAAGAGAACAAGGCAAAAGAUAUCAACAAUUGUAUAAUUGGUGCACAGUUUCGGUUUGGGAAGAUGCAAAAAUUAUGGAACGGAGCAGUGUGGUGAUGGUUGUACAACAUCAUGAAUGUACUUAAGGACACUGAACUGCACCCUUAAAAAUGGUUCUAAUGCAUCUGGGUGGCACAGUAGGUCAAGCAUCUGUCUUGAUUUUGGCUCAAGUCAUGAUCUUGUGGUUCCUGAAUUCAAGCCCCACAUCGGGCUCUGUGCUGGCAGCUGGCAGCCUGUUUGGGAUUCUCUCUCUGCUCCUACCCCACUAGUUUGCUCACUCUCACCUUCUCUCUCAAAAAUAAAUAAGUAAAACUUUUUAAAAAAUUGUUAACUUUUCUGUAUAUUUUGCCACAGUAAAUUAUGAAAAUUUGUAAAUACACAAAUGCCAUUUUCCCAUCGUGACUGUAUAACUCUUUCACGAGGGUAAUUUCCAAAUUAGCUGCUUCAAGUAAAUUUCAGUGCCUGUAUCUCCAAAGUAUUGUGCUGAAAUCUGAAAGUAGGAGAAGGGAAAGAAAAAUUUUAAAGGUUAAUUAAAAACCCCAUUCUUGAAGAUCUUAUGCGUUCGUUUAAAAGGACACAUAUACUUUUGUAUCAUCCUUGUGAAUUACCAGAGAGAAACCUAUUUAGAAUCUAGGCUGGAAGGGACUGUGAAGUGAUUUUUAGAUGGCAGAGAUCUCAAGGUUGGCUCAGAUGUGUUGGCUUACUGCUCCAGAGUCCUCUUGGCUUUUCAUUCUCAAAGUGAUUUUCCAAUUUUAGCAUGCAUCUGAAUCACCUGGAGAGCUUGUUAAAAUAACCUCAGCUUGCAUAUUAGGCGGAUUUGGGCCAGGGCCUGCAAAUUUGCAUUUACAGUAAGUUCCCAGGUGAUGCUGCUGCUGCUGCUGCUGCUGGCCCAGUGAUCACCCUUUGGAAAUCACUCUUUAACAUAAGACAUAUCACUUGAUACCAUAUCCUAUGUUUAUGCAUCUAAUUCUUUACACCAGGAGCUCCUGGAACAGAAACCAUCUUGUCUGUCUUUGCACUCCCAGGUUCUAACUCACUGUUUGCCCCUGAAUAAGUUUUUGUUGAAUAAAUUAUUUGAAAGAAAAUAAUGUAGUGAGUGAUAAUAAACUUGAUAUUGUAUUUCACAUUAAAAAAAAAAAACCUUGAUUUGUUUGUUUCUCUUGAAAAGAGAUGAAUCAGGUAGCAGUGAACCCAGAGUCCGCACUGGCAACAGUUAGCUGACGCUGAGUGGUGUUGGGGCGCUUAGACCACAGCUGCUACAAUCCUUGCAAUCCUUCCCUUAUUACCCCUGCCUCCCCUCUCUCACCCCUACAGGUAUCAGCACUUGCCCCCAGGUCAACCCGUGACUUCUGAUUCCCUAGGGAACUGAAUUUUAAAAACCAAAAAGCCAGGAACAGUCUCCUGACUCUUCUGUUUUCUGCUGUCACAUUCUUUUCCUGAGAUAUUAGUACAAAAAGAUUCGUGGUUUGAAUAGAAGGCUGGGCAUUUGGGGAAGGGAAAUGCAGAAAGAAAAAUGGCUGACAUCUUGGAAUAUUGUACCAUCAAUUAAGUAUAUAGUGUUGCGGUAGCCAGAUGAGAAGGUGACUGAUGCGGUGGAGAAGUGGGUAAAGAAAAAGGGGCAUUGGUUAAAGGACAGCAAAAGAAAGGGGGAAGCAGAGGUGUCCAAGCUGGGCUUCCAUUUACUGACUGAGCAUUUACUCUUUGCUAGGCAUUGGAAUAACCACUUCGUGUGCAUUCUCUGAUUUAAUGAUCAACCGCAGGGAGCACCCUGGAUGGAUGGAGUGGCAGAAGAUAUUUCAAGCAGAGAAAAACAGCAUGACCAAUGGCUUGAGGACUUUACAUAGGACCACAUUCUGGCAAUUGAGUGUGAUCUCCAUAGGGCUUGUCUAUAAGGAAGUGUCAGUAGGUGACACUAGAAAGAUCCAUUGGGACUGGGCCAUUGUUAGCCCUUAUGCCAUGUUAAAGAAAUAAGACCUUAUUCUGAGAGGCUUCAACAUGAAGACACUGUAAACAAAAAAGGAUUAUCCUGUCUUCAAAACCUUGAUGCAUCCAGACUGGGAGAAAACAUGUGUGAUCCUGGUUUCCAAACUUGAGUAAAUUCACAAUAGAACUAGAAAAGGCUAGAGCAAUGUUGGAGAAAGAAUAUGGGCUCUUCAGUCUGAAAAGGCAAGGGCAAAGAGGGCUUCUGUGAAGCCUAUCAUUUCAUAAACAGCAAGGUGAGGGUGAACACGGGCCGAAACCUCUACUGUAAUCAGAAAAAACAGCUUACGUUUUGAGCAAGGGUGGAUGGUCUGAAGCCUUUUGCUGUCUGACAUGCCCACAAAGCCCUUCUCUGAAACAGCCUUGCAUUGUGUCAUGGGACCCAACCAUGCUGUAAGAACUGAUUGGGUCAGGAACCUGCCAAAGACAGCCAUGUAGGGGAGCUGACGUGGCCCCUACCCAGUGCAGGAGAGUAGGGAAGAGGAGUGUCUGUACUGACUAAUGGCAAUUAGACCCAAUCACUUCUCUCCUGGGACGUUAUUAAUUAAGAGGUACCAAAAGGGAGGGCGGCUGCAUAAAGAAGUAGUGAAGUAAAACACCAAGGAAGCAUUUGGUAGCAUCACCACAGUGAGAAAUACUUUUGAUCGGAUGACCUAGAGAAACCAAUAUAGCAAAAGGUUUUAGCGCACACAUUCCAGGGUUAGACUCUUUGGUGUGUUUAAAGACACCCACCAGCUCUGUAACCUUGGACAACUUCUGUAGCUAAUCUGAGCUUCAUUUGCAUCUAUAGAAAUAAAGAUAAAGCCUGCCCUACAGGGUGUUGUGCAGUUAUAGGAGAUCAUGUGUAUGAAGCGCUUAGGGUAUUCCUUGCCAUAUGGUAAGUGCUCAGUGGCUGUUAUUAAUUUACUUGAAAGAAAAAAGAAUUAAGGGCACCUGGGUGGUUCAGUCAUUUGAGUGUCCAACUCUUGAUUUCAGCUCAGGUCAUGAUCUCAGGGUCAUGGGAUUCUCCCUCUUUCUCUCUCUCUCUCUCUUCCCACCCACACUCUGUAAAUAAUAAAAAAUAAAGAAUUAUAUUCAGAUCCUC